GAUGAAGAACGUAGCGAAAUGCGAUAAGUAAUGUGAAUUGCAGAAUUCAGUGAAUCAUCGAAUCUUUGAACGCACAUUGCGCCCCCUGGUAUUCCGGGGGGCAUGCCUGUCCGAGCGUCAUUACAACCCUCAAGCUCAGCUUGGUGUUGGGCCCCGCCGCCCCGGCGGGCCCUAAAGUCAGUGGCGGUGCCGACCGGCUCCGAGCGUAGUAAUUCUUCUCGCUCUGGAGGUCCGGUCGUGUGCUCGCCAGCAACCCCCAAUUUUUUUCAGGUUGACCUCGGAUCAGGUAGGGAUACCCGCUGAACUUAAGCAUAUCAAUAAGCGGAGGA
rnacentral:misc_RNA from 1 species